AAAACCCUAGUCUCUCUCUCUCUCUCUCUCUCUCUCUCUCUCUCUCUCUCCCUCUCCCACACGCACACACUCUGCAGCGAGGACAGUGAACAAAGUUUCAAUCUGAAUUUUCAUGUCCUGCUAAACAGCAAAACCCGUAAAGCUGUUAGAUUUCGAAUACACCUAUCCCACACAUGACGGAAUUUGGCGCUCGAUAUGGCGGCGGCGGCGACACCGACGAUUCAAUUCCUCGCGGCGGCCCCAUAUUCGUUCCAGACAUGGUCAGUCCUCUAACUAGGGUUUCUACCUUCGAGUCUUAUGUUAUCCAGGAACUUCACAAUCUCCAAACGUGUUUAAUUUCAGACUCCAUCGAAGCGUUCGACGACGAAAUCUCUGUUGAUGAACUUAAGAUUGUUACGGAGGAAGAGUUGGCAGUUAAGGCAAUUGAGGAAGUGUUCAAGGAUGAUGGUUCCUUGAAUGCCUCUUCUGUCCGAAAUAAUAAUGAAGUAAUCGCGAGGAGAAGCGAGAGAAUCAACGGGAAGAGUCGGGAUAAGGAAGUUCGAGAAUAUUGUGGUGAGGGUUCGGGAGUUGUGGAGGAAAGGAAGAGAAUCAAUGGGGAGAGUUGUAGCGGUGAAAAUCAAGAAAAUGAAAUAAUUGAGAGAAUCAACGGGAAGAGUCGAGAUAAUGAGGUUCGAGAAAAUUGCGGUGAGGGUGUGGGAGCUGUGAAGGAAAGGAAGAGAAUCAAUGGGGAGAGUUGUAGUGGUGAAAAUCAAGAAAGUUGUGCUGGAAAUUUGGAAGUUGUGGAGAAAAUGGGGAGAAUCAAUGAGAACAGUUGUAAUGAUGAAGACCGAGAGAAUUGUGAUGAAAAUUUGGAAGUUGUGGAGAAAAGGAAGAGAAUAAAUGGGAACAGUCGUAAUGGUGAAGAUCAAGAAGAUUAUGAAGAGAAGGUGAGAAUCACGACGAAAAGGAAGAGAGGGAAGAAUGGUGACGUUGGAGAUCAAGAAAAUAGUGCAGAAAAUGCUGAAGUUGCUAAAGAAAAGAAGGGAAUCAAUGGGGAGAGUAAUAAUGUUGGUGAUCAAGAAACUUGCGCUGAAAAAUGGAAAUUGAAGAAAAGGAAAAGAAUGAAAGGGAGCAAUCAUAUUUUUGAAGAUGAUGGUAGUUUUGAUGCAAAAGUGGAGCCCUUUCUGAAAAUUAAGCAAAAACAGGAGGAAGAAAAAGCAUCAGCGAGGUUACAUUCAUUCAAUGGUAGUCUCCAGAAAACCAAUGAAUGCGAAAACAAAUCCUCGGAUGAUAUUGAAAGGAUGACAUCUCUUAGGUCCAUUGAUGGUGUAACCAAAGUGAACACUUCGAAUUAUCACGGUGAUCAUGUACCGGUGAUUUACCCUGAAGUUGUUCUAUGCGUCGAGGUUUACAAUAACAAGAAUCAAAUUAGGAUGAAGACACAAGAAUUCCUUGUUUUGGGAUGUCAAUUCUUGAGUGAGUUGAGAGACAAGAUACACUGCUUAACUGAUCAGGUUAUGCAAAAGGCUGGACAACACGACCCUUCUGGGUAUUUCCUUAUAGAGGAUAUAUUUUGCAAUGACAUGCGAGACGCCAAUGCUACAGACUACAGCGAGCCUAUUCUCGAUUGGCUUAGAAAUUCCAAAGACGAAGUGGUUGCGAAAUGGGAGUGCAUUUUAUCUGGUCAGUUGCAGAAGAAGCAGAAGGCCCUGCUAGGGGACGAGAGAAGUCCAAACUUGCCUUGUUUCAGAGCAGUUGAAAUGCAGAAGACGCGAUUUUGUGAUUUGAGUUUUCGAGUUGGUGCUGGGUAUGUGUACUGUCACCAAGGGGAUUGUAAGCAUAUAAUUGUGGUGAGGGAUAUGAGGCUUAUUCAUCCGAAAGAUGUGCAGAACCGGAGGGUUUAUCCAAUUGUCAUGUUUCAAAUGAAGGAGCGGCUUCAGAAAUGUUCUGUUUGUAAGAUUUGUAUAGCGGAGAAGGUAACAGUGGACGACAAGUGGGCUGCAGAGAAUCCAUGCUAUUUCUGCAAGAACUGCUAUUACAUGCUUCACUAUGUCGAUGGUUCGUUGCUAUAUGAAGAUUUCUCAGUGAUGAUCUGGAAGAUUCUUGUAUCAGCAGCUCUACUUUCUGUGACUGAAGCUUGAACUAUGAUCUCCUUUUCCAUGGGUGAUAUUGUAAAUAAAGGAAGAAAGAAAAAGGGAAGACUAUUUGUAGACUUUUCAAGUUGUAGGAGAAAUGGAGUAUACAAUCCCGAUCGUAUCUGGGAAAAAAAAUUAGAAUUUCUUACACCUGAGUCGAUGUCCUUAAGGAAAUGAAUUGCACAAAUUUUCAGAUCAUCUAGCUCUUUCUUUAGGGAAAAGGGAACGGUGGUAACCAAUUUAUUACUGCCCGAUUGAAUAAUAGUCUUUUAACUACAGACAGCUCUUCUGGGUGUCGCUAGUUGCAGUGUGAAAAUGGUGAUUAUCCAACUGUUUUGGCCACUUACUCGGUUACGGGUUACAAAAAAUAUUUAUUUUUGUUAGUGUUAGGGUAAAGUUCAAGUUUGUCUGUAGGACUCAAUACAAUGCACUAUGUGCAGUUGUUUGUAUAAAGUGGAAUGUUAGUAUUUCAAUAUAUUUCACUGUGGGGGGCCGGUCAGAUGCUUGUUUUCUUCUAUGCGAGUAAAGGGAUGAGCUCUAAGGCUCUUGCUAUAUGGCGUAUAUUUGCAAGAAAUUAUUCAUCUGGCCACUGGAAAGACAAUACUGGGGAACAGACUCACAGAAGUCCACCACUAAUGUUAUAUUUGGUAAGGAUAUUGCAGCAAUCGAGGUGUUGAAGAUCCUUGAGAAGUCCUCUGAUCAAGAUUUAAUACUGCAGCAUCUUGGAUGGAUUGCAGAUAUAUACCAAGUACUUGCCAUUCGAGUAUUAACAUCAGAGAGAACUGAUCAGCUUUCACCAGGCAGGUCCCAUAACAUGAAACAAUUCAUAUUUCUUAGUUUUCUGUUCAUUCUACUUUCAUUAUGUUUGAA